AGCUCCAAUAGCGUAUAUUAAAAUUGUUGCAGUUAAAAAGCUCGUAGUUGAAUCUCAGGUUAGGCGCGUCGGUUUGGUCUUGGUACUAUGACUGUCUGCGUCUGCCUUUCACAGCUGUUAGUCAUCUCACGGUUCUCUUUACUGAAUGCUGUGUGAACGCUGGGCACGUUUACCUUGAAAAAAUCAGAGUGUUCAAUGCAGGCUCAGUGCCUGAAUGUUGUUGCAUGGAAUAAUAGAAUAGGACUUCGGUUCUAUUUUGUUGGUUUUCGGUACCGAAGUAAUGACAAAUAAGAGGUGAAAUUCUGAGAUCACCGACAGACAAACUACUGCGAAAGCAUUUGCCAAGUAUGUCUUCA
rnacentral:rRNA from 1 species